rnacentral:rRNA from 1 species
GACGAACCGUGCGAACGUUGUUCGGAAUCACUGGGCUUAAAGGGCGCGUAGGCGGCUCAUCAAGUCCGGGGUGAAAGCCUCCAGCUCAACUGGAGAAGUGCCUUGGAUACUGGUGAGCUUGAGUGAGGUAGGGGCAGCUGGAACUUCCGGUGGAGCGGUGAAAUGCGUUGAUAUCGGAAGGAACGCCGGUGGCGAAAGCGAGCUGCUGGACCUCUUCUGACGCUGAGGCGCGAAAGCUAGGGUAGCGAACGGGAUUAGAAACCCU